AACGAACGCUGGCGGCAUGCCUAACACAUGCAAGUCGAACGAAGUCUUCGGACUUAGUGGCGCACGGGUGCGUAACGCGUGGGAAUCUGCCCUUGGGUGCGGAAUAACUUCUCGAAAGGGAUGCUAAUACCGCAUAAUGUCGUAAGACCAAAGAUUUAUCGCCCAAGGAUGAGCCCGCGUAAGAUUAGCUAGUUGGUGGGGUAAAAGCCUACCAAGGCGACGAUCUUUAGCUGGUCUGAGAGGAUGAUCAGCCACACUGGGACUGAGACACGGCCCAGACUCCUACGGGAGGCAGCAGUGGGGAAUAUUGGACAAUGGGCGAAAGCCUGAUCCAGCAAUGCCGCGUGAGUGAUGAAGGCCCUAGGGUUGUAAAGCUCUUUUACCCGAGAUGAUAAUGACAGUA
rnacentral:rRNA from 1 species